CCUACGGGCGGCAGCAGUGAGGAAUAUUGGUCAAUGGGCGCUAGCCUGAACCAGCCAAGUAGCGUGAAGGAUGACUGCCCUAUGGGUUGUAAACUUCUUUUAUAUGGGAAUAAAGUGCAGUAUGUAUACUGCUUUGCAUGUACCUUAUGAAUAAGGAUCGGCUAACUCCGUGCCAGCAGCCGCGGUAAUACGGAGGAUCCGAGCGUUAUCCGGAUUUAUUGGGUUUAAAGGGAGCGUAGGCGGGUUGGUAAGUCAGUUGUGAAAGUUUGCGGCUCAACCGUAAAAUUGCAGUUGAUACUGGCAUCCUUGAGUACAGUAGAGGUAGGCGGAAUUCGUGGUGUAGCGGUGAAAUGCUUAGAUAUCACGAAGAACUCCGAUUGCGAAGGCAGCCUGCUGGACUGUAACUGACGCUGAUGCUCGAAAGUGUGGGUAGCAAACAGGAUUAGAUACCCCUGUAGUC
rnacentral:rRNA from 1 species